UACAGAGGGUGCGAGCGUUAAUCGGAAUUACUGGGCGUAAAGCGCGUGUAGGCGGUUUGCCAAGUCGGGUGUGAAAGCCUUGGGCUUAACCCAAGAAAUGCACUCGGUACUGGCAGACUAGAGGACCGGAGAGGAUAGUGGAAUUCCCAGUGUAGUGGUGAAAUACGUAGAGAUUGGGAAGAACACCAGUGGCGAAGGCGGCUAUCUGGACGGUUUCUGACGCUAAGACGCGAAAGCGUGGGGAGCAAACAGG
rnacentral:rRNA from 1 species